GCCGACUUAGCUCAGUUGGUUAGAGCGCUAGAUUGUGGAUCUAGAGGUCGCUGGUUCGAUUCCAGCAGUCGGUACCA
rnacentral:tRNA from 1 species